rnacentral:misc_RNA from 1 species
AAAGUCGUAACAAGGUUUCCGUAGGUGAACCUGCGGAAGGAUCAUUACAGUGUUCCCUGCCCUCACGGGUAGAAACGCCCACCCUUGUGUAAUAUAUGUUGUUGCUUUGGUAGGCCGCCUUCGGGCACCGGCCCCGGCUGGAUCGUGCCUGCCAGAGGACCCCAGACUCUGAAUGUUAAUGUCGUCCGAGUACUAUAUAAUAGUUAAAACUUUCAACAACGGAUCUCUUGGUUCUG